GUAGGUGGCAAGCGUUGUCCGGAAUUAUUGGGCGUAAAGCGCGAGCAGGCGGUUCUUUAAGUCUGAUGUGAAAGCCCACGGGCUCAACCGUGGAGGGUCAUUGGAAACUGGGGAACUUGAGUACAGAAGAGGAAAGCGGAAUUCCACGUGUAGCGGUGAAAUGCGUAGAGAUGUGGAGGAACACCAGUGGCGAAGGCGGCUUUCUGGUCUGUAACUGACGCUGAGGCGCGAAAGCGUGGGGAGCAAACAGGAUUAGAUACCCUGGUAGUCCACGCCGUAAACGAUGAGUGCUAAGUGUUAGGGGGUUUCCGCCCCUUAGUGCUGCAGCUAACGCAUUAAGCACUCCGCCUGGGGAGUACGGCCGCAAAGGCUG
rnacentral:rRNA from 1 species